CCCUUAGAUGUUCUGGGCCGCACGCGUGCUACACUGAGUGGAUCAGCGGGUCAGGUUGCGCGAAAGCGUUUCCUAAUCUUUAAAUCCGCUCGUGAUGGGGAUUGACGGUUGCAAUUUUCUGUCAUGAACGAGGAAUACCUUGUAAGCGCGGGUCAUCAUCCCGCGCUGAAUACGUCCCUGCCCUUUGUACACACCGCCCGUCGCUCCUACCGAUUGAAUGUGCCAGUGAAAAGUUCGGAUUGGAGAUAGGAAACGGCAACGUAUCCUAUUUCCGAGAAAAUCUUUAAACUUUCCCAUUUAGAGGAAGGAGAAGUCGUAACA
rnacentral:rRNA from 1 species